GACAGUGUCUGACAUUAGAUAAUGGAAGAAAAAUGCUCAUAAAAUAUUUAUACGUAGCUCGCAACUUAUUUGUUCAGGAUGUUUUUAACAUAAAAGUAAAUAAAUAUUGGUACAUAAAGAUAUAGCAAAUGCAAAUUACAAUUAUAGAUUUGCAGCACCGUAAUAUGAAACAAGAUGACACGGCGAUGUCAAAAAGGGCAGUUGCCAAAUGAAGAUUUAAAAGUAAAGUUUGUAUAUUUUGUACGGAAGAUGAGAAAAAAGGUGAAAAGAUAAUGUUUCGUUUUGAUUUAGUAUUCCGUUGCUACAUCAAUAGAUGUAUUUAACAGUCUGGUUCCCGUAGAAUGACAAUUAAAAUGCGUGCCGUUAUAAUUAA